GCAGUCGAGCGGUAACAGACAGAGCUUGCUGCUUUGCUGACGAGUGGCGGACGGGUGAGUAAUGUCUGGGAAACUGCCUGAUGGAGGGGGAUAACUACUGGAAACGGUAGCUAAUACCGCAUAACGUCGCAAGACCAAAGAGGGGGACCUUCGGGCCUCUUGCCAUCGGAUGUGCCCAUAUGGGAUUAGCUAGUAGGUGGGGUAAUGGCUCACCUAGGCGACGAUCCCUAGGUGGUCUGAGAGGAUGACCAGCCACACUGGAACUGAGACACGGCCCAGACUCCUACGGGAGGCAGCAGUGGGGAAUAUUGCACAGUGGGCGCAAGCCUGAUGCACCCAUGCCGCGUGUAUGAAGAAGGUCUUCGGGUUGUAAAGUACUUUCAGCGAGGAGGAAGGUGUUGGGGUUAAUAACCACAGCAAUUGACGUUACUCGCAGAAGAAGCACCGGAUAACUCCGUGCCAGCAGCCGCGGUAAUACGGAGGGUGCAAGCGUUAAUCGGAAUUACUGGGCGUAAAGCGCACGCAGGCGGUUUGUUAAGUCAGAUGUGAAAUCCCCGGUCUCAACCUGGGAACUGCAUUUGAAACUGGCAAGCUAGAGUCUUGUAGAGGGGGGUAGAAUUCCACGUGUAGCGGUGAAAUGCGUAGAGAUCUGGAGGAAUACCGGUGGCGAAGGCGGCCCCCUGGACAAAGACUGACGCUCAUGUGCGAGAGCGUGGGGAGCAAACAGGAUUAUAUACUCUGAUAGUACACGCUGUACACGAUGUCGACUUGGGAGGUUGUGCUCUUGAGGCGUGUCUUCCGGAGCUAACGCGUUAAGUCGACCGUCUGGAGAGUACGGCCGCAAGGAUAAAA
rnacentral:rRNA from 1 species